rnacentral:misc_RNA from 1 species
UGGUGUGGGAGGGGAGCACGGUGGUGGAUAUGGAGGUGGAGAAGAAGGCGGUGGUGGCGCGGGAUAUGCCAUUGGAGGUGGCUCCGGUGGCGGCGGAGGGCAUGGAGGCGGCUAUGCUCCUUAAGAACUGAAGCCUAUUUCUAGUAAUAAGGUGAUAGUAGACUUGUGUUGGAGACAAUGGAGGACUCCAUUGUCGUAUUAAUUUUAUUGUCGUAUUAAUUUUUUACUUGUUAGCUAUUUAAGGCUUUGUUGAGUGCUAGCUUGAGUGAAGCUAGAGCUAGUUGUUGGUGAAGUUGCA